rnacentral:rRNA from 1 species
CAAUAGCGUAUAUUAAAGUUGUUGCGGUUAAAAAGCUCGUAGUUGGAGUUCUGCCAGGUGCCGCCUGUCCGCCCCAGUGGUGAGUACGUGGCGCGCAUUUGGCCCUUUCAAGGGGAGCGUAUCUGCACUUUAUUGUGUGGUGCGGGAUCCUUGACUUUUACUUUGAGGAAAUAGGAGUGUUCCAAGCAGGCUCUCGUCGUGCACAGCUCAGCAUGGAAUAAUAGCAUUGGACCUCGAUUCUAAGCUGUUGGUUGCCAGAAGCGAGGUAAUGAUGAAGAGGGAUAGUUGGGGGCAUUCGUAUUUAACUGUCAGAGGUGAAAUUCUUGGAUUUGUUAAAGACAAACUACUGCGAAAGCAUUUGCCAAGGAUGUUUUCAUUGA